rfam:Stegodyphus mimosarum contig50567, whole genome shotgun sequence.
GCCUUCGUGGUGUAGAGGUCAGCACACUCGAUGCGUAACCGAAAGUUCCGUGGUUCGAUUCCCGGCGGAGGCA